rnacentral:lncRNA from 1 species
AUUGUUUUUUUUAACAUAAUAGAUUAUAAUGCAAAAUUUAAAAAGCCAUCAGCGUUUAACAACAAACUCAAAUACAUGUUCAGUACAUAUACUGCUGUCAUUGAUUUCAGCUGAUUGUAUCGAUUCAUUGUCAGGUUAUUCUCUAACCAUGGAAAAUCAAAUCACAAUAUAAGCUAUACUCGUCCGCCUUUUUAUUAAAAUAAACACUAGCAUCCGACGAAUAUUAUAGCAAAACUGAUGAAGGCCAACAAACUAUUGAUAUAAGACAAACUCAUGUUACAUAAAAC